rnacentral:rRNA from 1 species
GCGGCAGGCCUAACACAUGCAAGUCGAGCGCACCUUCGGGUGAGCGGCGGACGGGUUAGUAACGCGUGGGAACGUACCCUUUUCUACGGAAUAGCCUUUGGAAACGAAGAGUAAUACCGUAUACGCCCUUUGGGGGAAAGAUUUAUCGGAGAAGGAUCGGCCCGCGUUAGAUUAGAUAGUUGGUGGGGUAACGGCCUACCAAGUCUACGAUCUAUAGCUGGUUUUAGAGGAUGAUCAGCAACACUGGGACUGAGACACGGCCCAGACUCCUACGGGAGGCAGCAGUGGGGAAUCUUAGACAAUGGGCGCAAGCCUGAUCUAGCCAUGCCGCGUGAGUGAUGAAGGCCUUAGGGUCGUAAAGCUCUUUCGCCUGUGAUGAUAAUGACAGUAGCAGGUAAAGAAACCCCGGCUAACUCCGUGCCAGCAGCCGCGGUAAUACGGAGGGGGUUAGCGUUGUUCGGAAUUACUGGGCGUAAAGCGCACGUAGGCGGAUUGGAAAGUUGGGGGUGAAAUCCCGGGGCUCAACCCCGGAACUGCCUCCAAAACUAUCAGUCUAGAGUUCGAGAGAGGUGAGUGGAAUUCCAAGUGUAGAGGUGAAAUUCGUAGAUAUUUGGAGGAACACCAGUGGCGAAGGCGGCUCACUGGCUCGAUACUGA